GAAUAUUGGACAAUGGUGGCAACACUGAUCCAGCCAUGCCGCGUGAAGGAUGAAGGCCCUAUGGGUUGUAAACUUCUUUUGUACGGGGAAAAAACCUUCUUACGUGUAAGAAGCUGAUUGUACUGUAAGAAUAAGGAUCGGCUAACUCCGUGCCAGCAGCCGCGGUAAUACGGAGGAUCCAAGCGUUAUCCGGAUUCAUUGGGGUUUAAAGGGUGCGUAGGCGGAAUGAUAAGUCAGUGGUGAAAUCUCGCAGCUUAACUGCGAAACUGCCAUUGAUACUGUCAAUCUUGAGUACAUUUGAUGAGGGCGGAAUGUGUCAUGUAGCGGUGAAAUGCUUAGAUAUGACACAGAACACCGAUUGCGAAGGCAGCUCUCAAAACUGUAACUGACGCUGAGGCACGAAAGCGUGGGUAUCAAACAGGAUUAGAUACCCUGGUAGUCCACUCUGUAAACUAUGAUUACUCGAUGUUUGCGAUACACAGUAAGCGUCUAAGCG
rnacentral:rRNA from 1 species